rnacentral:misc_RNA from 1 species
GUCUUGGUGGUUGCUGGAGGGCUAUUAGGACCCACUGAGAGAUUGAGUAUAUCAACUCCAUCAUGAACAGCCUGAUCAAUAGCAGCUACUACGUCUGCAAUAAAGCCUCCAAAAAGCCUGUAGAGUGCCUUAUAUACAGCAAUCCUAGCACGAGGAGCCAUCCCACUUGCUUUCCCAAAUUCAUGGUCAUGCAUUCUCACAGGAAUACCAUUAUUUCCUGCUGCAAUAGCAGCUAUAUGGCUUCCAUGUCCGUCACCAUCCAUGGGAGAAGCAAAAUCAAUAGAAGGGUUGAAAGCCCCAGCUGCUAUAGCAGCUUCAGCAAAAUGUUGGGCUCCAAUAAUCUUUCCAUUGCAAAAGUCUUUCUUAGUAUCAGGAUCAACUUCACAUUUUCCUCUGUACUGUGGAACAGGCUCAUAUGGAUCAGUGUUGUAUGUUGCAAAGCUUGGAUGGUGAGGAUAAAUUCCAGAGUCAACAAAUCCUAUCACAAUGUU